rnacentral:rRNA from 1 species
AGCGAACGCUGGCGGCAGGCCUAACACAUGCAAGUCGAACGAACUCUUCGGAGUUAGUGGCGGACGGGUGAGUAACACGUGGGAACGUGCCUUUAGGUUCGGAAUAACUCAGGGAAACUUGUGCUAAUACCAAAUGUGCCCUUCGGGGGAAAGAUUUAUCGCCUUUAGAGCGGCCCGCGUCUGAUUAGCUAGUUGGUGAGGUAAAGGCUCACCAAGGCGACGAUCAGUAGCUGGUCUGAGAGGAUGAUCAGCCACAUUGGGACUGAGACACGGCCCAAACUCCUACGGGAGGCAGCAGUGGGGAAUCUUGCGCAAUGGGCGAAAGCCUGACGCAGCCAUGCCGCGUGAAUGAUGAAGGUCUUAGGAUUGUAAAAUUCUUUCACCGGGGACGAUAAUGACGGUACCCGGAGAAGAAGCCCCGGCUAACUUCGUG